GACGAACGCUGGCGGCGUGCCUAAUGCAUGCAAGUCGAGCGGGCUACGAUCUUCGGAUUGUAGCUUAGCGGCGAACGGGUGAGUAACACGUAGGUGAUCUACCCUUCAGAGGAGGACAACCUCAGGAAACUGAGGCUAAACCUUCAUACGUUCACUGGUAGGGAUACUGGUGAAGAAAGAGUUACCUUAGUGGUAGCUGCUGAAGGAUGAGCCUGCGGCCCAUCAGGUAGUUGGUGAGGUAACGGCUCACCAAGCCGAAGACGGGUAACCGGUCUGAGAGGAUGUCCGGUCACACUGGGACUGAGACACGGCCCAGACUCCUACGGGAGGCAGCAGUCGAGAAUAGUCUACAAUGGCCGGAAGGCUGAUAGUGCGACGCCGCGUGAACGAGGGAGCCCUUCGGGGUGUAAAGUUCUUUUCUAUACGAGCAGUGCUAUAUAUAUGAUAGUAUAUAUAGAGGGAUAGUAGUAUAGGAAUAAGACAACGGCUAACUCCG
rnacentral:rRNA from 1 species